CCUACGUGUGGCUGCAGUGGGGAAUAUUUCACAAUGGGGGAAACCCUGAUGCAGCGACGCCGCGUGAGCGAUGAAGUAUUUCGGUAUGUAAAGCUCUAUCAGCAGGGAAGAAGAUAACGGUACCUGACUAAGAAGCCCCGGCUAACUACGUGCCAGCAGCCGCGGUAAUACGUAGGGGGCAAGCGUUAUCCGGAUUUCAUGGGUGUAAAGGGAGCGUAGACGGCGAUGCAAGCCAGGUGUGAAAGCCCGGGGCCCAACCCCUGGACUGCAUUUGGAACUGUGUGGCUGGAGUGUCGGAGAGGCAGGCGGAAUUCCUAGUGUAGCGGUGAAAUGCGUAGAUAUUAGGAGGAACACCAGUGGCGAAGGCGGCCUGCUGGACGAUGACUGACGUUGAGGCUCGAAAGCGUGGGGAGCAAACAGGAUUAGAUACCCUUGUAGUC
rnacentral:rRNA from 1 species